AGUGAACGCUGGCGGCAGGCCUAACACAUGCAAGUCGAACGGCAGCACAAGAGAGCUUGCUCUCUGGGUGGCGAGUGGCGGACGGGUGAGGAAUGCAUCGGAAUCUGCCCAUUUGUGGGGGAUAACCUCGGGAAACCGGGACUAAUACCGCAUACGACCUACGGGUGAAAGCAGGGGAUCUUCGGGCCUUGCGCAGAUGGAUGAGCCGAUGCCGGAUUAGCUAGUUGGAGGGGUAAAGGCCCACCAAGGCGACGAUCCGUAGCUGGUCUGAGAGGAUGAUCAGCCACACUGGGACUGAGACACGGCCCAGACUCCUACGGGAGGCAGCAGUGGGGAAUAUUGGACAAUGGGCGCAAGCCUGAUCCAGCCAUGCCGCGUGUGUGAAGAAGGCCUUCGGGUUGUAAAGCACUUUUGUUGGGAAAGAAAAGCAGCCGGUUAAUACCCGGUUGUCAUGACGGUACCCAAAGAAUAAGCACCGGCUAACUUCGUG
rnacentral:rRNA from 1 species